rnacentral:lncRNA from 1 species
UAAAGCCUUGUCCCGCUGAGAGCUCAGGGCUGCACCCUCCUGUUCUGCUGCAUCAGAGAGGGUGAUAUAACCCAAGCUCACACUUGUAACUAAAGACCCUAGUGUGAUUGCAUCGGAGUCGGCUUCCUGGUGAUCUUUUGGGGUUCACGGACACCUUCUGGGACAGCAGCUCCUGUUCGGUUUGGCUUCCCUGUUACUUGGAUAAAACCCUGACCAGAAGCAACUUGGGGUUGGGUGUGGGGAGUGGCUGUUUUGUUUUGUUUUGUUUUGUUUUGUUUUGUUUUGUUUUUCUUCAUCUUACAGCUCCAAAUGGUAGUCAUCACUGAAGGAAGCCAAGACAGGAAUCUGGAGGCAGGACCUGAAGCAGAGGACCCUCAGCGGAGGUUCCUAUCCUGGGUAACAAGUGGACACCAACUAGACAGAAUAUUCCCCAGCCCUGCUGUGACGGGUAGUCACUGUGGACAAGACUGGUGUCUGGUACCAAGGGAAAGGUGGGGCAGCAGACUAAAGCUGGAGUUCAGGGCAGGCUCGGGGUCUUGGUCACACACCAUCAUAUAAGGAAGAAGCUCAGAGCAGGGUUCUAAGGUGACAUGUGACAUGUUCAGGUGCUGUGUGCUAUGUUCCCUGGGCUUUCCAGGUUACACAGAAAACUUGCUGUUUGAAUGCAGAUCCUGGGGUUCCACGAAGGCACUGUGCCUUUGGUUAUACGUGAGCCUCAGUUUCCUCUUGCCAAGGAGGGUGGGGCACGCCCCAAACUGGAAUUCCCAAGGAUGCAUCACACUGAGCAGGACGGUUCACUCAGCCCCAAGCGUGGUCGCCCAUAAAACUUGACACGGACACGGUGCCCCUGGCAGGUUUUAUUUAUAAUCUGCCUGUGAUCUGCUUCGGGAAUACAAGACCAGAAGCACGCCAUUUAAGUCUUCAACGCUCAUUCCGUGGUCCUCAGAUCCUCAGAGGAGGCUCUGUGUCCGCACCGGAUCUGUCUCCUUUGAACCUACCUUUCUGGUCCCCAUUCAGUCCUGUGCAGUCCAGAGAACCUGGCAGCUCUUCUGCAGCCAGAUCUAUCUUUGAACUGCUGUAUCUCUUGUGGGUGAAAAUGUGGGGCUCUGCUUCAGAGCAAAAUUCAAAACAAUCCAGGCUCUGGCAGGCUUUCUUCUUUCCACUGGUGUUUGUACUUAGUGUUUAAUAAAUAUGGGGAGGGUCAAAAUAUGAUGUCAUUAGCACAAAUUUGAUUGAACAUAUCCGGGUUUUGUUUCUGGCCAGUGCUGGAAAGUGACUUGUGAUCGCAUGCUUCCUAAGUACGUGCUCACUAAGCUGCACC